GGUCCCGUAGCUCAGCAGGAUAGAGCAGCGGUUUCCUAAACCGCAGGUCAGAGGUCCGCGCCGCCAACGGGUCUA
rnacentral:tRNA from 1 species